rnacentral:lncRNA from 1 species
UACCCGGUAUGUUGCAAAAUUAUUGAAUGAGCUAGAAAUUUUACUGAAAUAAUUCAUAUCCUUAAUAAUUCUUAUGGACCGUCUGCCUGGCUAGCCAAGAAAAUGAUGUGUAUGAUUCAUGUAAAAUUUCAAUUCCAGUUGUCUCCAUCAAUGAAACUCUAUAUGUCCUGAGAUAUUGGCUGAUAUGAAAUUUAUACCUUGUUCACCAAGA